GCAUGUGAUGAUUUAAACAUUCUUCACUUUGACCUGACUAAGCAGUGAUGAUGACCUUAAGCCUGAGC
rnacentral:snoRNA from 1 species